rnacentral:rRNA from 1 species
GGAAUUCUCCGCAAUGGGCGCAAGCCUGACGGAGCAACGCCGCGUGAGGGAUGAAGGCCUCUGGGCUGUAAACCUCUUUUAUCAAGGAAGAAGAACUGACGGUACUUGAUGAAUAAGCCACGGCUAAUUCCGUGCCAGCAGCCGCGGUUAUACGGGAGUGGCAAGCGUUAUCCGGAAUUAUUGGGCGUAAAGCGUCCGCAGGCGGUUUUACAAGUCUGUCGUUAAAGCGUGGAGCUCAACUCCAUUUCAGCGAUGGAAACUGUAAGACUCGAGUGUGGUAGGGGCAGAGGGAAUUCCCGGUGUAGCGGUGAAAUGCGUAGAUAUCGGGAAGAACACCAGUGGCGAAAGCGCUCUGCCGGGCCAUAACUGACGCUCAUGGACGAAAGCCAGGGGAGCGAAAGGGAUUAGAUACCCCUGUAGUCCUGGCCGUAAACGAUGAACACUAGGUGUCGGGGGAAUCGACCCCCUCGGUGUCGUAGCCAACGCGUUAAGUGUUCCGCCUGGGGAGUACGCACGCAAGUGUGAAACUCAAAUGAAUUGACGG